rnacentral:lncRNA from 1 species
UUUUUUUUUCAUCUUUUUAGGGCCCCAACUCUUGGAACCAUAUAGGAGAUGAGACUGUGAUACUCUCUGGACACAAUUCAUGUUUGUGAUAAUGGGUAUGUUAUUUACUUGAAGGAUACAUAAUAUCUUAAGGUACCUUGUGGAAUUUCAGCUUUCCUUAUGCAGAAGGAUUUUAUAUCCCCAGACUACUUGAAGAAGUAGGCAACUAAAGGCACUCAGGUUGUUGCUUGGACUGUGUAACAUCUUUGAUGAAAAAGAGUUACUACAAAUUCCAUCUUGGUUCCAACUCUUAUCACUGAGAGCAUGUUGGAAAACUGCAGUUCUAGCUGCUCCCCCAACACCCACCCAAGGAAACAUGUGCAAAAACUACCUGAUGGUCUCAAAUACCCCUUAUGGUAGCCCAAGCCCUGGGGAUUGGGUGGUUCAUAAAGCAGGAAUCGGUAAUUGAAUUUUUACCCAAACCAAAGCAAAACCCAGUGUUGCCAACAUGCUGCAUGGAAUGCCUGAGUUCAACACUGUUGAUCUUGAAAAUCUAGGUUUGCAAAAGGCACUGCAGCUGUUGUCCUGAGCUGAGGCAUACACCUUAACCCAGUGAGGAUAAGCACAGAUUGAGUUGUGCAAUUUAGAGGUACAGAUGCAAAUGCAUAGGAAGUGCACCAUCACUCAGAGUUUUUUUUGUCUUUUUAAGGGCGCUCACGGUCAUAUGGAGGUUCACAGGCUAGGGAUCGAAUCAGAGCUGUAGCUGCUGGCCUAUGCCACAGUCACAACAAUGCCAGAUCCGAGCAGGAUCUGUGACCUACGCCACAGCUAACAGCAAUGCUGAAUCCUUAACCCACUGAGUGAGGCCAGGGAUCAAACCUGCGUCCUCAUGGAUACUAGUCAGAUUUGUUUCUGCUGAGCCACGAGGGGAACUCCAGAGCCGACAUUUUAAAACUUGCCACACUGUAUAACUUAUUUCAAAUACUGUAUUCAGCUAUGUUAUCAAUGUACAGCCAAAUUUGUGGCUGUCAGACUUGUGACACACUAAAAAUCAUUAAAAGGAAAAAAGGAAAUGUGAAUGCAGAAACAGACAUUUAAUUACAUGCUGUAUUUAGUUUUCCAGUGGGAAAAUAUAGUUAAAACAAAAUUUGGAGAAAUUCAUUUUUGUGUUGAAGGAGCCCAAAUCUAAUCACGACAGUAGGAAUAUUUUGUUCUGGAAGUAAUUUUUUAGUGGAUUUACUUGUGGAUUAAAUUUUUUUUGUCUUUUUCAGGCUUCACCCAUGGCAUUUGGAAUUUCCCAGGCUAGGGAUUAAAUCAGAGCUGUAGCUGCUGGCCUACACCAUAGUCACAGGAACACCAGAUCCGAACUAUGUUUGUGACCUACACCACAACUCACAGCAAUGCAGGAUCCUUAACCUGCUGAGCAAGGCCAGGGAUCGAACCUGUGUUCUCAUGGAUACUAGUCAGAUUCGUUACCACUGAGCCAUGACAGGAACUCCUCUUGUGGAUUAUUUAUAAUUAAAUAUAUUUUGAAAUAAUAGAAGUUAAAUCUAAACGGCAUUUAAUGAAAUAGUACAGCGCGUGAAAAACUAUAUUAAGCAAUUAAGAACUGUGUAACUGUAUCGGUAAUAAAAUACUUGGCUAGUAAAUGUCAGCUUUUGAAAUAUGAAUGCCGGGGUAGCAGUAUAUUAUUUUACCCAGUACAUGGCUGGCACAUAGUUUAAAUGUCACUUGGCUUUCUGGCCCUUGAUUAGAUGUCUGUAAAAUGGGCUGUCAUUAUCCAGCAGUUUGGAUUUUCAGGUAAUAUCUUAAAAAGUAAUGGAAUGUGAAAGCAUUCUAUCAAUUGCCAAAUGCUUUAUAAGUCAAAUAAAUGUGGCCCUAUAUUCUAUUUCACAAAGUGUUGAGUUGCAGGAAACAAAUUAUCUGACUAUGUUACCAAAAGCAUAUAAUAAAGUUGCUGACUUUGCCGCAAGCUGUAAAAAGGACGAUGUAAUUGGAUGAUAGGUGACAUCAAGUGAUAUCAUCGGAACCUGGAGCCUCAAGAAAGAACAGUGAGCACUUAAGCCUUUUCUUCCACCAUUCCCACCACUUAGACAUACCAAGCCUUUACUCACUUGUUAGAAGGGAAAAAAACUAUCCUAUAUUCCAUUUCUAAUUACUCAGUAGAAAGGAAAGAUACUUUGUUUUAACUUAAGCUUUCUUUCCAAGGAAUGAAAAUCCAACUAGUUAAUGAAUAUAAAGUGGGUUCCAUUUUUAGACCUUUAAGUAAAGGAUUUUUUUUAAAGGAUUACUGCAAUACUGUGGUACUAGAAUUUCCAGAAAAA